rnacentral:rRNA from 1 species
GUGUCAGCCGCCGCGGUAAUACGUAGGGUGCGAGCGUUAAUCGGAAUUACUGGGCGUAAAGCGUGCGCAGGCGGUUUGCUAAGACCGAUGUGAAAUCCCCGGGCUCAACCUGGGAAUGGCAUUUGAGACUGGCGAGCUGGAGUCUGGCAGAGGGGGGUGGAAUUCCACGUGUAGCAGUGAAAUGCGUAGAGAUGUGGAGGAACACCGAUGGCGAAGGCAGCCCCCUGGGCUGAGACUGACGCUCAGGCGCGAAAGCUAGGGGAGCAAACAGGAUUAGAUACCCUGGUAGUCC